AAUGCCGUAAGAAGUUUGUUUGACACCGGUUUGACAAUGUUUGUGUUCCUAGCAUGAAAAGAGUGAACGUCAGAUUUAGACCCACCCACUGAACUACUCCACGGCAUAAUGAUCUAGCCAUGGUUUCUGAGCCAAACUUAAUUUAAUCAUGACCAAAUGCAUAUGGCAUAGUAUGUAAGGAUUGCAGUCUCCAGCCGCCACACAUCAUCAGGAAGUACUGCAUAUGGGCAAAGUAGAGAGCAAAAUUCAGAGCUGUCCCCUAGAGCUGGCCAGCUGAGUGGACCUUCUUACCAGGAAAGGUCCAGGACAUAGAGCCCGUUGACCAACUAAGGUCGCAGGAGACGACACAGGCAGGCAAGCAAGCGUGCAUCCGCCAUUAUCUUUGGAGCUGCUAGAGGGAUCCCAUCAGAUGGGCUGGUUCGCAACGUUUGGCCGAGGCAGGCAAGCAAGCCUGCAUCCGCCAUUAUCUUUGGAGCUGCUAGAGGGAUCCCAUCAGAUGGGCUGGUUCACAACGUUUGGCCGAGGUACGAGC